CCGCAUAAAUCCUCCCACGUCUCUUUGAUAUGGAUGUUUCCCAUAACUUCAGAGGAGAGAAACCUCCAGUCUGUUCAUCAUGAAGAAAGCACUUGAAACAGAGACCAAUUUCUUCACUUCUGGCAUUCACUAAUGUUCAGAUGAUGGGACUUCAUUGCUGUGCAAACCCAAUAACAUCGGUCCAUCCAGCUUUCAAAAACAUUUGUUAUUUCUUUCAAGACAAUCCCUUUGGCCUUUGAUUAAUUCUACUUGUAACAACCAGAAGAAAACCCUACGCAAUUGUCCCAUCACUGAGACGUGGUGCUAUUACUGUCAAAUGAAGCUUUCUUUACCCCAGGUGUGGUGUUAUUAUACCGCAUACAAGAGCACCCGACAUAAGAACCAAGAAGAGAAUGCAUUUGCAGAAGGAAAGUUAGCAAGACUGGGCCUUGACUCGAGGAAGUGUCUGCCUCCAGGUGGAAGAAGUCUGGUUGCCCUAUGGUGACCAGAAGCCCUGUGUCCACACUGUACUAGCUGUGAUGGUGCUACAGGACAUUUGGAAGACACGACAAGCAUCCUGAGGCCUGAGAUUUCUC